rnacentral:lncRNA from 1 species
UGGAAACUGGAGCUCUGAGAGACUGAAUUUCCCUAUGGCCAAGUGAGUAGUGAAUAGCAAAGCUAGAUUUAAAUUCAGAGGCAUCUGGCCCAUAGUUGAGGGCUGUCUUGAACCCUGGAUUUGUUUCAAGAACCAAAGCUGCAUUCUCAGUUCCACCUCUGUGUGCACACAUCAACAGGGGCCAGAAGGAUGGUUCCUGCUGGGAGUCGCCUGUGGCCCCUAGAGGAAGCAAAAGCUCGGGGUCUACUAUUCCCUCUUGGCUUGACUAUGGUCGGUCUUUUCAAGUCUCAGCUCCUGAAACAAAAGGGGUUCAAACUCGGGACCUUGCACUUUCAAGGAAGGCAGAAUUAUACUUUCAUUCUUGGCACGACUAAUAGUCUUAUGAAAUUUAACCCAAAACGCCUAUCUCUUGAUUGCUGUGCCCUGAGAGCCAGUGCCACAGGAAACAAAAGCAGAC